rnacentral:rRNA from 1 species
UACGGGAGUGGCAAGCGUUAUCCGGAAUUAUUGGGCGUAAAGCGUCCGCAGGCGGUCUUUUAAGUCUGCUGUUAAAGCGUGGAGCUUAACUCCAUUUCGGCAGUGGAAACUGGAAGACUAGAGUGUGGUAGGGGCAGAGGGAAUUCCCGGUGUAGCGGUGAAAUGCGUAGAUAUCGGGAAGAACACCAGUGGCGAAGGCGCUCUGCUGGGCCAUAACUGACGCUCAUGGACGAAAGCCAGGGGAGCGAAAGGGAUUAGAUACCCCUGUAGUCCUGGCCGUAAACGAUGAACACUAGGUGUCGGGGGAAUCGACCCCCUCGGUGUCGUAGCCAACGCGUUAAGUGUUCCGCCUGGGGAGUACGCACGCAAGUGUGAAACUCAGAGGAAUUGACGGGGGCCCGCACAAGCGGUGGAGUAUGUGGUUUAAUUCGAUGCAACGCGAAGAACCUUACCAGGGUUUGACAUCCUGCGAAUCCCUUGGAAACGAGGGAGUGCCUUCGGGAACGCAGUGACAGGUGGUGCAUGGCUGUCGUCAGCUCGUGUCGUGAGAUGUUGGGUUAAGUCCCGCAACGAGCGCAACCCACGUCGUUAGUUGCCAGCAUUCAGUUGGGCACUCUAGCGAGACCGCCGGUGAUAAACCGGAGGAAGGUGUGGAUGACGUCAAGUCAUCAUGCCCCUUACAUCCUGGGCUACACACGUACUACAAUGCUACGGACAAAGGGCAGCAAACUCGCGAGAGCUAGCAAAUCCCAUAAACCGUGGCUCAGUUCAGAUCGUAGGCUGCAACUCGCCUACGUGAAGGAGGAAUCGCUAGUAAUCGCAGGUCAGCAUACUGCGGUGAAUACGUUCCCGGGCCU